GCCGGAGUGGCGGAAUUGGCAGACGCGCUGCGUUCAGGGCGCAGUGGGCGCAAGCCCAUCUGGGUUCAAGUCCCAGCUUCGGCA
rnacentral:tRNA from 1 species